GAUGAACGCUGGCGGCGUGCCUAAUACAUGCCAGUCGAGCGAACGGACGAGAAGCUUGCUUCUCUGAUGUUAGCGGCGGACGGGUGAGUAACACGGGGAUCACCUACCUACAAGACUGGGAUAACUUCGGGAAACCGGAGCUAAUACCGGAUCAUAUGUUGAACCGCAUGGUUCAAAAGUGAAAGACGGUCUUGCGCUCACUUAUAUACGGAUCCGCGCUGCAUUAGCUAGUUGGUAAGGUAACGGCUUACCAAGGCAACGAUGCAUAGCCGACCUGAGAGGGUGAGCGGCCACACUGGAACUGAGACACGGUCCAGACUCCUACGCGAGGCAGCAGUCGGGAAUCUUCCGCAAUGGGCGAAAGCCUGACGGAGCAACGCCGCGUGAGUGAUGAAGGUCUUCGGAUCGUAAAACUCUGUUAUUAGGGAAGAACAUAUGUGUAAGUAACUGUGCAGAUCUUGACGGUACCUAAUCAGAAAGCCACGGCUAACUACGUG
rnacentral:rRNA from 1 species